AUUGAACGCUGGCGGCAUGCCUUACACAUGCAAGUCGAACGGUAACGCGGGGCAACCUGGCGACGAGUGGCGAACGGGUGAGUAAUGUAUCGGAACGUGCCCAGUUGUGGGGGAUAACUGCUCGAAAGAGCAGCUAAUACCGCAUACGACCUGAGGGUGAAAGCGGGGGAUCGCAAGACCUCGCGCAAUUGGAGCGGCCGAUAUCAGAUUAGGUAGUUGGUGGGGUAAAGGCUCACCAAGCCGACGAUCUGUAGCUGGUCUGAGAGGACGACCAGCCACACUGGGACUGAGACACGGCCCAGACUCCUACGGGAGGCAGCAGUGGGGAAUUUUGGACAAUGGACGCAAGUCUGAUCCAGCCAUGCCGCGUGCGGGAAGAAGGCCUUCGGGUUGUAAACCGCUUUUGUCAGGGAAGAAACGCUCUGGGUUAAUACCCCGGGGUAAUGACGGUACCUGAAGAAUAAGCACCGGCUAACUACGUGCCAGCAGCCGCCGUAACAC
rnacentral:rRNA from 1 species